GAUGAACGCUAGCUACAGGCUUAACACAUGCAAGUCGCGGGGCAGCAUGGGGGUUGCUUGCAAUCCCCGAUGGCGACCGGCGCACGGGUGAGUAACGCGUAUCCAACCUGCCCUUCACCACGGGAUAACCCGGCGAAAGUCGGACUAAUACCGUAUGUUGUCCAUUGACGGCAUCCGAUUUGGACGAAAGGGUUGGCGGUGAAGGAUGGGGAUGCGUCCGAUUAGCUGGACGGCGGGGUGACGGCCCACCGUGGCGACGAUCGGUAGGGGUUCUGAGAGGAAGGUCCCCCACACUGGAACUGAGACACGGUCCAGACUCCUACGGGAGGCAGCAGUGAGGAAUAUUGGUCAAUGGGCGUAAGCCUGAACCAGCCAAGUAGCGUGCAGGAGGACGGCCCUAUGGGUUGUAAACUGCUUUUAUGCGGGGAUAAAGUGGCCCACGUGUGGGUUUUUGCAGGUACCGCAUGAAUAAGGACCGGCUAAUUCCGUG
rnacentral:rRNA from 1 species